rnacentral:rRNA from 1 species
AUUGAACGCUGGCGGCAGGCCUAACACAUGCAAGUCGAGCGGGGUUUUCGGACCUAGCGGCGGACGGGUGAGUAAUGCGUAGGAAGCUGCCCGAUAGAGGGGGAUACCAGUUGGAAACGACUGUUAAUACCGCAUAAUGUCUACGGACCAAAGUGUGGGACCUUCGGGCCACAUGCUAUCGGAUGCGCCUACGUGGGAUUAGCUAGUUGGUGAGGUAAUGGCUCACCAAGGGGACGAUCUCUAGCUGGUUGGAGAGGAUGAUCAGUCACACUGGAACUGAGGCACCGUCCAGACUCCUACGGGAGGCAGCAGUGGGGAAUAUUGGACAAUGGGCGCAAGCCUGAUCCAGCCAUGCCGCGUGUGUGAAGAAGGCCUUCGGGUUGCAAAGCACUUUCAGCGAGGAGGAAGGGGUAGUAGUUAAUAGCUACUACUUUUGACGUUACUCGCAGAAGAAGCACCGGCUAACUCUGUGCCAGCCGCCGCGGUAACAC